rnacentral:rRNA from 1 species
AUGAUCAAGUCCAAGUAUUCGUAUGUUGCUAUAUUGUUAGUCACUAGCAUGUGCCCAUGGCACCCAAGCUGGCGUAGGCGCUGCAGAUUGCCCUCUCGCCAAAGCCUCAACCAGUCAUGGGUAUCUUGUGGCUUCAUCAGUUCAUCACUAUCUUAUAAGGCGGGAAUUACUCAGAAUAUUCAUUGCAGCACAAUAUUACUCAUGCACUGGAAAAGACCAAAUAUCCAGAUCGAGACAUACUGGAGGAAAUUUGAUGAGAAGUAUCAUUUUUCUUGUCAGUUUACUUCUGAUAUAAUCGCUAUGAACACUGUUGAUUUCAUAAUCAAUGCACUUGAUGUUUCACGAUCUGUACUGCAGAUUUUCAGAACACUAAGGGCAUAUCUUGGCUUGGAAUGCUGA